GGGCACCUGGCGGGUGCUUACCAUGCAAGUCGAGUGCGCGGUUGUAGCAAUACAACUGGCGCACGGCGCACGGGUGCGUAACACGUGGGCAAUCUGCCCUCCGAUGGGGAAUAACCCCGCGAAAGCGGGGCUAAUACCGCAUAACAUUCCGGGGACUCCGGUUCCUGGACUCAAAGGCGUAAGUCGUCGGAGGUGGAGCCCGCGCCCGAUUAGCUAGUUGGUGAGGUAAUGGCUCACCAAGGCAAUGAUCGGUAGCUGGUCUGAGAGGAUGGCCAGCCACACUGGAACUGAGACACGGUCCAGACUCCUACGGGAGGCAGCAGUGGGGAAUCUUGCGCAAUGGGCGAAAGCCUGACGCAGCGACGCCGCGUGAAGGAUGAAGGUCUUCGGAUUGUAAACUUCUUUUAGAGGGGAUGAAUGCCCUGGUGAAUAGCCAGGGGUGACAGUACCCUUUGAAUAAGCCACGGCUAACUACGUGCCAGCAGCCGCGGUAAUACGUAGGUGGCAAGCGUUACUCGGAAUCACUAGGCGUAAAGCGCAGGUAGGAGGUUUGGUAAGUCUGUUGUGAAAGCUCCCGGCUUAACUGGGAGAGGUCAACGGAAACUACUAGGCUAGAGUGCGGUAGAGGUAGCUGGAAUUCCCGGUGUAGCGGUGAAAUGCGUAGAUAUCUGGAGGAACACCGGUGGCGAAGGCGGCGUUCUGGACUGCAACUGACACUGAAAGACGAAAGCCAGGGGAGCAAACGGGAUUAGAUACCCCGGUAGUCCUGGCCCUAAACGAUGAAUGCUUGGUGUGGCGGGUAUCGAUCCCUGCCGUGCCGGAGUUAACGCGUUAAGCAUUCCCGCCUGGGGAGUACGGUCGCAAGGCUUGAAACUCAAAGGAAUUGACGGUGGCCCGCACAAGCGGUGGAGCAUGUGGUUCAAUUCGACGCAACGCGAAGAACCUUACCCAGGCUCGAAGUGCAGAUGACCAUCGGCGAAAGUCGACUCCCGCAAGGGCAUCUGUAGAGGUGCUGCAUGGCUGUCGUCAGCUCGUGUCGUGAGAUGUGGGUUAGUUCCGCAACGAGCGCAACCCUUUGUUUCUGUGCCAUCGGGUAAUUGCCGGGCACUCUAGCGAAACCGCCUCGAUAACGGGGAAUAGGUGAGGGAUGACGCCAGGUCCUCCAUGGUCUUUAGGUCCAGGGGCUACCCAUGGUGCUAC
rnacentral:rRNA from 1 species